CCUGAGAACCCAAUCCUGCUAUCUCCUGAACAGAGUGAGAACAUCUGAAAUCCUAGUACUGGCUCCUGAGAAUCAAGUUUGCCCUCCCUGUCCACUCUGCUCACAUCCUUGAAUCUCUGGCUUUAUGCACCCGGAAGAGUUUUAAGAAGGUGUCUGCAAACCUUGAGGUUUCCUUAUUUGUCUUGCAAUCGGGCAUUCAGAAAAGCGUUAAGUCCUUCUCAAAAGAAGUUCCGUUUAGGUCACGUCCUGUGUGUCGUACUGGCGUUUGCGCGGGAGCUACGUUAAUUUUUGCAAAGAUUGAACAGCUUGUCCUCUCUGGUGAUAUUCUUAAAAGUCCCUCUUGCUACAUAGCGGACACUAGAAGGCUACUCCUUGAAGGGCAGAGGCACCUUUCAGGGAAAAUCACGCCUACCCAAAGGAAGAGGGAGAAGUCUGUCAGGGAAAGACAGCUUUGUGGCAGACCCCUGCUCUUUAAAGGAGAGGGAUCCUGCGACAGCCUCGGGGUCUGCAUUAGCAUAGGACUAGGUUCCCACCCCAGGUGCAAGAAGCAAAGUUUUUUUUUUCAGAAAAACUGAAUGGGGUUAUGUCUUCGGGCCCCGCCCAGAAUGCUUCCUAGCUAAAUAUCAGAGAUGGAAUGCUGACAGAUUCAUUUAACUUGGAGAAGCAAACAGCAUCAUAGAAAGGACACCUGGACCCAGUUCUGUCCCUUUUGUCUACCUUGACAUGAAAGUACCCUGCAAUCCAGCACCCCAAAGCAUGUACAGUAGGCAGGACUGAGGAUUGAGCUUCCAAUCUCAUGUACUCAAGGCAAGUGCUGCAUGACCGGCUCACAUUUCCUGGACCACCCAUGACACCUUGGGUGGGGACAAGGUCUUCUGAUGGAUUGAUCAACUUGCUGUCCUUCCCCCUUCAACUCCUGAAGUUACAUGUCCCACACCUGUUUCAUUUG
rnacentral:lncRNA from 1 species